CGGGUGAGUAACACGUGGAUAACCUACCUAUAAGACUGGGAUAACUUCGGGAAACCGGAGCUAAUACCGGAUAAUAUUUUGAACCGCAUGGUUCAAAAGUGAAAGACGGUCUUGCUGACACUUAUAGAUGGAUCCGCGCUGCAUUAGCUAGUUGGUAAGGUAACGGCUUACCAAGGCAACGAUGCAUAGCCGACCUGAGAGGGUGAUCGGCCACACUGGAACUGAGACACGGUCCAGACUCCUACGGGAGGCAGCAGUC
rnacentral:rRNA from 1 species